CAGAAAAGAAAGGGGUUAAGGAAAACAGAAGAAUGAAAGCCAGAGAGAGAGAACCUGAGCCAAGACAGACCCAGGAUUACAGCUGCCAGCCAAUGGAGCAGCAGGAUUUGAAACAAAAACAACCAAUCCACGCAGUCAUUCAACAUCAAAAGGCAAAAGGGGGAGGAGGAGAGAGGAAAAAGGACAAAGUAAUGGUGGAUCCCAAAACACAGAAGAGAGCCAAGAUCUCUUCCUCUGACUGAGCUAUUAGGACAGCAAUUGAUGCCCAGUGACACACUGGUUUGGAUCUCCACUGCCAGAGGUUGAUCACAGAAUCAUGAUGGACCUACAAAUGCCCAGAGAAGCAUUUUGUCUAGGAACUCCUUUGCAUGUGCACAAACCAUAAAGGAGAUCUCAUCAAAGGCUAUGGACUACUUCAGGGAGCAGGAAGAAGAAAAGAUACAAGACAAGUACUGUACUCCAGAAGUUUAUUUAUUUAUUGCAAAUAAUUAAUACUGUU